rnacentral:misc_RNA from 1 species
AUAUUUUGAAUUAAGUAUAUUCAUAAUAUGUUAUCAGACGAAUGUUGUUAAAGAUAUAGGUUGAUAUUUAUGAAGGGAAAGAAAAGACUUUCCCAACAAACAUUGCACACAAGGUGGAUAUGGAUUUUUAAAGAGUGCCAUAAAACACUUAUUAUGAAUGAUCCUUCCGCAGGUUCACCUACGGAAA